GUACCCGCUGAACUUAAGCAUAUCAAUAAGCGGAGGAAAAGAAACUAACAAGGAUUCCCCUAGUAACGGCGAGUGAAGUGGGAAGAGCUCAAAUUUUGAAUCUGGCAGCCUCGCUGUCCGAGUUGUAAUCUCUAGAAGUGUUUUCCGCGCUGGCCCGUGUAUAAGAAAGUUGGAAUACGGCGUCAUAGAGGGUGAGAAUCCCGUCCUUGACACGGACAACCAGUGCCUUGUGAUACACUCUCGAAGAGUCGAGUUGUUUGGGAAUGCAGCUCAAAAUGGGUGGUAAAUUCCAUCUAAAGCUAAAUAUUGGCGAGAGACCGAUAGCGAACAAGUACCGUGAGGGAAAGAUGAAAAGCACUUUGGAAAGAGAGUUAAACAGUACGUGAAAUUGUUGAAAGGGAAACGCU
rnacentral:rRNA from 1 species